rnacentral:lncRNA from 1 species
CUGCUUCCCAAACCCUAUUCUGCUGAUUCAAAAGGCCACUGAGACUCCGUGGUAAUGGGAAAGCAUGAUGGGAAUCAGAGAAAGUCGAGAAGUAUCGCAGCUGAUGUAGCUUUCCUUGGCGUCUGACAUAAUAUGGGUGAAUCAACAGGCCUGUGCUAAUUACGGUUAGCAGGACAGACUCCCCUCUCCCACUGCGACGGGCUUCAAGGUCCCUCCGGAGCUGCAACACACCGGAUGGUCUGCCAGCAGCCACAGACCGCUCCACCCAUUGUCCGCCUACCCACAGAGGAAUCAGCUGAUUCGUCUUUCUAUCCAUCCGGUGUGCAGAAAACAGAAGAACUUUUGCAACACAUGUAACAACCUAAUCUUGACUGUAAUGUGAUUGCUGAAUUUAGUGCAGUAACUCAUUGGAUUACAGCAUUAUUGAAAAAUGUAACGUAAUUACAGUCACGUGUUACUUUGGAACAUCUUGUGCCCAGAAUCAGUUUUGGAAACAUUCCAAUAAUCUUUUCUCCCUUUUCUUACAAUUCAGUCAUCCACCCAUGAACACAGACAUUUACUAUAUUAAGCUAAGUGAGGUUGUAUUUUGUCAAUAGUUAGCGAGCUAGCUAGUUUGAGGAAAUAGGUAUUUUGCAAAAAGCAAAAUUGGACUUCACAUGUGUUGAAAGUGGACUGCAUUCACUUUCAACACAAAUAACGGUUAAAAAAAAAAAGAAGAAAAAACUACCAGGUAGCUUUUGGAGGGUUACUCUAGUUAGGCUAACUGUUUUGAGUUUGCCACCUUGGUUGCUAAGACUGUUUUGAUUUUGUGUGUUUGUCUGGUCAGUUUCUUUCCAGUUAUUAAAAAUAUCUGCAUGACGUGUCGUAGGUAUAAAUGAGUGUGUUUGCUGAGAUGUAGAGGUACCUGACCAGGCUAUUUGUGUCCCUAGUUGGGCAUUUCGUGGCUUUCAGAUGAUUGGCUCCAGGCUGAGGAAAACCGUCUACACUAAGAGCCAAGACAACAAUAGCGCCAGAUUCUGUAUGAAGUAAGGUCAACAUACCCAGGAUAUAUUUCCUGCCUUCACUUACCCUAACACUGGCAAUCAGGCUAAACAGUCACAUGAAGGUAGAUAUCACCUCAAUACAUUAAUCCAGAGUUUCACCGUCUAGCUAAAAUCAUGUUCACAUGAAAAGGGUGGUGUCAGCAGCAAGUGACCAAUCACGAACAAGGAGUUUACUGUCAGCGCAGUGACUGGUUUUAAAAGGGAACAUAAAAGUAUAGUUUUACUAAAGUGCGACCAAUUAAGCACAAAUUAAAAGAUAAAAAUAACACAGCUUCUCUGGACAAAUCUGCAGUGUGAGAGUGUGUUUUAGGAAAUGUACAGCAGCAAAGAAUUAAAAUGGGUAUGCACACUGGACAAGAUCUUGUAUAUUACUAAAGUUUAGCCUAUUUGAAGUCAGGAAGCAAAGCCAGCAAAAGUGCUGACUGUGUGAGUUUACAUACUUAUAAAAUAUUACAACUCUGUCGUAACAGAGAAACAAGAGAAUCUGAUGUGUUACGUUAUUCCGUUAAAUUAAUGUUUAGAUGUGCACUGGACAGUUUUAGCUUUCACUCUUUCAGCUGCAGCCCUGGUGGUGUUUAAAGAUCUGAGAGAAAAAUAUAAACAGUUUAGGAUACUGUACACAAUAAAACUGUAAAAGCUUCAAAGAAUAAUCAAAGAAUAAACUUGCAUCAAAAAUUCUAUAAUUACUACAGAUUAUCAUCAUGAAAAGGCAAACAAUUUAAAGACUCUCACUCUCUCCCCUUUUACUGUCUUACCAUCCUAUAGAGGUCCCACGGAUCUUCCAGGAAUGUAGAUGCAAUUUUCCAAAGAACCGACUGGUCAGUAGGAAGUGAUUUCAUAUCUGCCGAUCUCUAAUCGCUAACAUAAUCUGCUCCAAAGCAGAUUAGAUCUGCAUAGGCAUAAGUUAACAAGUACGCCAGUAAGACUUCUCAAAGCCCAGUUCAUAGUAAAGGGCUCAGGUCAACCUGCCAUGCAUCUUUCUACCUGUUGCUGCUAUUUUAAUUGUCAGUCUGAAGCAGUUUUCAUCGGUGAGCUGCCAUUUAUUUUGUUGAACUGGGUUUCUCCUGUAAGGUGUUUUCCUGUAUUAUGACGAAUGGGAACUUCUUGAAAAGGUUAACUAAUUUCAACACUUGCAUUUUGUAAACACAGCAUAUAUCAAUUUUAAAACAACCAAGUUGUGCCUUUGGGAAAGAGGAAGAUGGAUUUUUAGUUGCAUUUCAGCAAUAGGUAUAGAUGUACUGUUAGGC